rnacentral:piRNA from 2 species
AGGAGUUGGAAUAGGAGCUUGCUCC